rnacentral:rRNA from 1 species
AAUAGAUACCCGGGUAGUCCAUGCCGUAAACGUUGGGCGCUAGAUGUGGGGACCAUUCCACGGUUUCCGUGUCGCAGCUAACGCAUUAAGCGCCCCGCCUGGGGAGUACGGCCGCAAGGCUAAAACUCAAAGGAAUUGACGGGGGCCCGCACAAGCGGCGGAGCAUGCGGAUUAAUUCGAUGCAACGCGAAGAACCUUACCAAGGCUUGACAUAUACGAGAACGCUCUAGAAAUAGAGAACUCUUUGGACACUCGUAUACAGGUGGUGCAUGGUUGUCGUCAGCUCGUGUCGUGAGAUGUUGGGUUAAGUCCCGCAACGAGCGCAACCCUCGUUCUAUGUUGCCAGCGCGUUAUGGCGGGAACUCAUAGGAGACUGCCGGGGUCAACUCGGAGGAAGGUGGGGAUGACGUCAAAUCAUCAUGCCCCUUAUGUCUUGGGCUUCACGCAUGCUACAAUGGCCGGUACAAAGGGCUGCAAUACCGCAAGGUGGAGCGAAUCCCAAAAAGCCGGUCUCAGUUCGGAUUGAGGU